AAUGUUCUAUCGGGCAGGCAUCCCCAUCAGACUCUAAUUUUAUACAAUCUAUACUUUUGCUUGUACAGCUAUUUCUAUGCGUAUUUUUAUGAGUUUAUAAAAAAAAACACACAACUUAUGAUGAAUUUCAUAUUAAAUAUACGGGCAUUUUAGCUGGGCUAAAAUAAUUGUACUCGCAUAAAGCUAAAUAAAAAAAAUUGAUAAAUUUUACAGCGUUUAGAAAAAGCUAAUACAUCGGUAUUCGGUGAAAAAGUCUUGUUUCUACGGUUUUUCCUAAACUAAUUGUUAACAAAUUACAGAAACCGCUGGUGCGUACAUUUUUCCGUUUUUCUUACAUAUUUUCCUAACUAUUAAAAAAAGCACGGGCAUACUAUUCAUGUGGGUGCAACUAUUGUUGUAGGUGGAAAGUUGGGAAGGUAGGGUACAGACGAGAAUUUAAUAGAUAUGAAUGUAAGCAACGAUAAACCAAUGCUAACGAAAAGCGAUUCUGAGCGGAGUUCAGUUGAUAAUAUUACUUUGUCAACAAUAUAA